UUGGAGGGGGGGGACUGACAGUCGGCGGCGCUGCUGGGGGUUGGGGUAUCCCCGGGGGUCUCCCCCCUUUCUCCUCCCUUGAGAGCUGCAGCCACCCCCGCAACGUGUCAGGGCCCGGCACUGCCGCUAUUGCCGCUGGAGCCGAAGCCGGAGUCCCCGGCCUCCUGGGAGAGCUCAGGGGCCGGCGCUGCGGGGCACUGAUCGUGCGGCUGGAGAAGGAGCUCGGCGUGCUGGGACCCCGCAUUGGGAAGCAGUGUGUGCGCCCCGCGUCAGCCGGAGCGCAUUCUCCCGCUCUGGUACUCUACACAGACAAGGUGGUCGUUUCCUGUUCUCUUACUACUCCAGCCCGGAUCUGCCUCGGGAAUCCCCCAGUACUCUUUGGCACACAUCUCCCAUCCCCCAACUGGUGGAAGGUCCGGAGGCUGGUAAAAGGCGCACUUUUCCUCGGGCCCGCGUUUACCUCCUUCUCCAUCGAUGUGUGUGCUCUGCAUGUCUGAUUUGGUUGCGUUAUAUUUGGGUAAUAACCCUCUGUUCGGCGAUAUGCAGGCAGUUGCUGCAGGACAUGACUCCCAGGAUAAAUAAAUGGCAAGUGAAUAAUUUC